GAUGAACGCUGGCGGCGUGCCUAAUACAUGCAAGUCGAGCGAACGGACGAGAAGCUUGCUUCUCUGAUGUUAGCGGCGGACGGGUGAGUAACACGUGGAUAACCUACCUAUAAGACUGGGAUAACUUCGGGAAACCGGAGCUAAUACCGGAUAAUAUUUUGAACCGCAUGGUUCAAAAGUGAAAGACGGUCUUGCUGUCACUUAUAGAUGGAUCCGCGCUGCAUUAGCUAGUUGGUAAGGUAACGGCUUACCAAGGCAACGAUGCAUAGCCGACCUGAGAGGGUGAUCGGCCGCACUGGAGCUGAGACACGGUCCAGACUCCUACGGGAGGCAGCAGUAGGGAAUCUUCCGCAAUGGGCGAAAGCCUGACGGAGCAACGCCGCGUGAGUGAUGAAGGUCUUCGGAUCGUAAAACUCUGUUAUUAGGGAAGAACAUAUGUGUAAGUAACUGUGCACAUCUUGACGGUACCUAAUCAGAAAGCCACGGCUAACUACGUG
rnacentral:rRNA from 1 species